AUCUGAAGGUUACAGUAUCAGACUCAGGUAGUGGACAAAAGAAGUUGAGCUGCAUCACCACCUGCACUCUGUCUAACAACCCCACUUACAUCUGGUACAAGAACGGACAGCGUGUGUCUGACUGUAAAUCUGCCUCCUGCUCUGUAGCUGCAGUCAGUGGUGCGGUCAGUUACAGCUGUGCUGUUGAAGGUCACGACAGUCUCCUCUCUCCUCCAGUGUGUGAGUGUAGAUUUUACUCUCCUCAAUCGUAGUACAUCUAUAUCUAUAUCUAAUGCUGAUCCUGAAGACACAUCAGCUGAUUCAGGUGUUUUCUUUCUAAUCAGAUUCCCCUAAAAACACCAGAGCAGUGGUUCUUUCCUCUGGAGACACAGUGGAGGGGGGUUCAGUGACACUGAGCUGUAGCAGUGAUGCAAACCCUCCUGUUCUCACCUACUCCUGGUUUAAGCAGAGAGCAGCUGCAGACACACUGCUGACAACAGGCCAGAAUUGCAGCAUCUACACACGUGAUUGUGUCUCCUCUCACGGCUCCACUCCUCACGUCACGUUUGCCGAUGACACUGUGGUAAGGGGCCUCAUCUCCAACAACCCGAGGCCACCUACCUUGAUGAGGUGGGGAAACUAAUAGCUUGGUGCCAGGCAACUGUCUCUCUGAAAGUCAGCAAAACCAAGGAGCUGGUUGUGGACUUCAGGAAAAGGCAGCAGUGGAACUACACCCCAUCCAGGGCCUCCCCCCUCCCCUGUGGAGAGAGUGAGCAGCUUCAGGUACCUUGGAGUACACAUCUCUGAGGACCUGAUCUGGACUCAUUACGUCCAAGCUCAGGUGAACAAAGCCAGACAAUGGUUGUACCAUUUGAGCUUGCUGAGGAAAUUCGGCGUCUCCCUAGUUAUCCUGAAAACGUUCUAUACUGCAGCUAUGGAAAGUUUACUGACUCAGUGCUUCUCAGUGUAGUACGGAAACUGUUCAACCUAGGACCGCAAAGCCCUGCAGAGAGUGGUGCGCUUAGCGCAUAGCUCCACCCACCCCGGUACUGUCUGUUCAGCCUGCUGCAAUCAGACAAGUGCUUCCGUAGUCUGAUGGCUAAAACUGAGAGUCUUUGGAGGAGCUUCUUCCCUCAGGCCAUCAGACUCCUCAACACAGAUAUGUCCAGAUAUUCCCUGGCCGGGAAUUGAACCCUGGAAGUGAGCGCGCCGAGGCCUAACCACUAGUCCUCCCCCAAACCUUGGGGUUGCACAAGACAGUGCACUCCCAGUGCCGGUCCCAAGCCCAGGCAAAAUUGGAGAGGAUUGCAUUAGGAAGGGCAUCCGGGAUAAAAACUGUGUGUACCGAGCAGGAGGGAGGGUCCAGGCUGUGAGGACGCACGCCUGGCACUGAGUUGCCUACUCAGUGGGAGAGAGUAAUAAAGAAGCAUCUGGAAAUGCCUAGCAGGAGAGAGUGAGAGAGAGAUGCACACGUGUUUUAUGUUUGUGCUGCGCUUGUGGUUUGUUAUGUUUGAGUCCUGUUUAUUAUUAAAACUUUACAUUUGAGUUCACUCAGGUUCCCUUUUUCCAGUUCCUUGCCUGUCUUGGAAAUUUGCUACACUGUGUCGAAACAAAUAAGCAGACCAGUGAUCCCCUGUGGAGACCCCUAACGGGAGCAGCUGAAAGAAGAACAACAACUAAUUUUUGCACACUCCUGUACAAAAAUUUCAUAUUAUUUUAUUUCAUUUCUUAUUUUUAAUUUAGUUAUUUAAAUGCACAGUCUACGGAGGAGUAAGCCAAGUUUUCAUUUCAAUGCAAGUUAUAUACAGUAUAUAACUGUGCAUGUGACAAAUAAAAAUCUUGAAAAAAGUCCUGUACUACUGCACUGCUCACACAUCUGGACGUGUUAGGUAAGUUUCAUGCUUUAAAAUAACUUCUGAAUCAGCAUGUUUUAUUCAGAAAAAGAGAUGCUGGUGAGUGAAUGGCUGUUUAUAGCUGUUAUAAUGGAAGUGAUAACAGGAACUGACUUGUUUCACUCAGCUGAGGUGUGGAAGUUGCAUGCCAUAUGGGGAGCCGCUGCACUCGUUCCUGCACUGCUUCUCUCUCUUCUUACUAUUGUUCUGUGCAUUGAGAGGAAGAGAGGAGCAGAGAGAGACAAAGACUGAGAGUGUUCCGACGCCUGGAGAUGCCACAUACACAGCACUGAACCCCAUGACUAUGUCCCCGGAUUAUGACACUCUGCAAGUAUGUAUAGUGUUUCUGUGUGUGCGCGUGUGUGCGUGCAAAUUGCUGGGGGGAUGAGGGGGAUUUCCCUGCCUCUGCUUUUGAUAUCCCACUCUGAUCAUAUAUUUUUAUCACUGCUGAGGAUAUAUUUUAUCACUGCCUCAUCAGACUGAAAUAAAUAAAUGCAUUUCCUAAGACCGAAGGGAGAUGGAGCAAUUUAGUAAGACUAAUAACAGUGUCAGUAAAACUCCACUGUGGAAAUUUAAAAAAAAAAAAUUAAAGGAUCCACUCACUUAUUUGUUUAAAAAAAAUAAAAUAAAAAAUAAAUGCACCCUGUAUGUAAAACCCAGGACUGAGAAGUUUGAGGCUCCAUAUGUGUAGGUUUUAAUAAAAUAACCAAACCCACAAUCCAAAAAUGAGAGUGAAAAAGCCAGGCUAAAAAGGUUAUACACAAUCAGGGCAAAUCCAAAUGAGUAAUCAAGAAAAUGAAGCAAUGGUCCAGAUACUCAAAUAGGCAAACACUAGAUCAAACGCUCAGAACUUGAACGAUGAAUGAGGCAAGAAUUCACAUGGUAUUCCUGCGUUCGACUUAAGGUGACUCGAGGUUGCAUCCGACUCGAGGUCAGUACUUGCAAUUUCCAAACUCCAACCAGUAAAAUCCAAAGAAAACACCCCCUCAAAUUGAAAUUCCUACUCCUCAACUUGUGGUAGUCUUCUCACCUACGAGUUCCUUCCCUGUUUAUGGAGUGAAAUCAACAUGGCUGCACACAGCAUCAAAAGUAAACAAAGUACACUUCUGCUGGUGAGAAGACAUGAUCUGACCUGAUAUCACUGUGUGUGUGGACAUUUAACAGAAGUGACACAUUCAGAUACACAAACCUGCAACCAUGUUCUUUGAGAGUAAGUGUGUGUUUGGGCACAACUGCACACACUACUGACAACUGAGAUCUACUGACAGAGAUGCCAAUCAGCCUACAAUGCAGGUCUUUGGACUGGGGGAGCAAACAGGAGUACCCAGAGGAAAACCCAGAAGGUGCGAGGCAAACGUGCCACCGUGGCCCCUUCUUUAACUUGAUUUGGAAAUUAAAAUUAAGAUAAUUUUUAAAGCACAAAAGAAUGAAAUAUAGAAUAAGAAUGUGAUGUUAGUCAGACUUGAAUGUCUUCUCAUGUAGUUAAAAAAAAAAAAAAAAAAAAAAAGAGAAAGAGACUAAGCUAAUCAUAGCUGGUGUGGUAACCACACUGCUGUGGUAAGUGCAAUACUCGUCUUCCGUGUCUUUUCUGCUAGUAUCAUAAAGAAACUCAUCACCGCUUGCAAGUGCAGUGAAGGCCGAACAGGCUGAUUAAGACAGUUACUAUUCAGUAAAAGAGUUUUUUUUUUUUUCCUCGUGGAUAUUUUUGGCCAAUAUACAACAUUUGGUGGAUCUUCAAUUGUCGGCUGUCUGAAGGCUGAUGUCAGUAGCAGCAAUCCUCAUGUUUCUGACAGGUAAACCUUUAAAAAUAUUUCGGCUCUUUCUACUGUUUUUCUGUGCUAUUGUGUCACUACUGCAACAGUUCAGAAAAGCUCUGAACAUGUCUGUGUGUUUGGAAGUAUUUUUUAAUAAAAUUGACAAGAUGUGUUUGCAGGAAAGAACAUUUGUAGGAUGCUGUAGAGAAAAAGAUGAGAGUGAUAGAGCAAGAAAACAUUAUUUAACAUUAUUAAAUCAUUAUAUUAUUAAUGUAUUAUAUAAUACAAUAUCAUUCUGUAUCCUUCUUUAUCUGUGUGAAGUUUUUGAACGCUCUCAAACUGAGUUAUGCUUCCGUUGUCAUUUUCACACUUAUUUUCACACAUCACUGGCUCACUCACUAUGUUUGACUGAGAACAGCAGCAGUAGUUAAAAGUGUGAUUACACUCUUGCUGGUCAGUGCAUCAACUAUUUUAAUUUGUGCUUCUGGUGUGUGUGUGUGCACGUGUGUGCAUUUGUACAGAAGUGACAUUCAGAUACACAAACCUGCAGCCAGGUUCUUUGAGUGUAAGUGUGUGUUUGUCAUAGUGUAACGUGUUUUAUUUUCUGGAUGUGGCUACUUGACUCAGUGAGAAGUACUCCAGAACUGGAGAAUGAUAACAGCUGAGUUUGGUUACAAGACGGCGGAGGCCCUGGAUGGGGUGCCAACCGAUUGCAGGGCACAAUCGCACACACUACUGACAAUUUAGAAAUGCCAAUCAGCCUACAGUGAAAAUCUUUGGACUUGGGGGGGAAGCCAGAGUAACCAGAGGAAAACCCCAAAGCAUGGGACGAACAUGCAUGUUCUGUGCACACAGGGCAGAGGCGGGAAUCAAGCCCCCAACCCUGGUGGUGCGAGGCUAACAUGCUAACCACUAAGCCACCGUGGCUCCUUCUUUAACAAUUAAGAUCAUUUUUUAAAGCACAAAAGAAUGAAAUAUAGAAAAAGAAUGUGCUAUUAAUAAAACUUCUUGUUUUCUCAUGUAAAAAAAAAAAGAAAGAGGAAGAGACUAAGCUAAAACAGGGUGGAGGUAUAACCACAUUGCUGUGGUAAGUGCACUACUCGUCUUCCGUGUCUUUUCUGAUAGUAUCAUAAAGACGCUCAUCACCGCUUACAAGCACAGUGAAGGCCGAACAGGCUGAUUAUAACAGUUACUAUUCAGUAAAAGAGUUUUUUGUCCUCGUGGAUAUUUUUGGCCAAUAUACAACAUUUGGUGGAUCUUCAAGUAUCGGCUGUCUGAAGGCUGAUGUCACCAUGUUUUACAGACUAUCAAGAAAUGUUACAGUAGCAGCAAUCCUCAUGCUACUGACAGGAGUUCAGGCUCAGCACAAUGUAACUCUCUCCCCUCAGAGUCUCUGCGCUGUUACUGGAUCUACAGUAAAAAUCUCCUGUACAUUAAGAACACCUGAUCACUCCAGUGUCACACAGAGAGAGUGGUAUCGAGUCCAGAGCUCUGAAAGAGAAGCACGAGUCCUGAGCAAAGAUCCACAAUACUCAGGACGAGUGUCUGUAAGCACAGUGACGUCUGACUGUGAGCUGACACUGAGCAAUGUGAGUGUGAGUGACUCUGGAGUUUAUAACUUCAGAUUUAAAGUCACACAGAGAGGAGACUGGAUAUCAGCAUCAUCUGGAGUUCAUCUGACUGUUACAGAUCUGAAGGUUACAGUAUCAGACUCGGACAGCAACUUGAAGACGCUGAGCUGUAACAACACCUGCACCUACAAGCCCUCUUAUGUCUGGUUCAAGAACGGACAGCGUGUUAUUGAACAGGAGAGGGGAAAUGAAUGGUCUAUCACUAGUGCAGGCAGCUACUCCUGUGCUGUAAAAGGACAUGAGGAGCUUCGCUCUC